rnacentral:rRNA from 1 species
AUUGAACGCUGGCGGCAGGCCUAACACAUGCAAGUCGGGCGGAUGAAGGGAGCUUGCUCCUGGAUUCAGCGGCGGACGGGUGAGUAAUGCCUAGGAAUCUGCCUGGUAGUGGGGGAUAACGUCCGGAAACGGGCGCUAAUACCGCAUACGUCGUGAGGGAGAAAGUGGGGGGUCUUCGGACCUCACGCUAUCAGAUGAGCCUAGGUCGGAUUAGCUAGUUGGUGGGGUAAAGGCUUACCAAGGCGACAAUCCGGAACUGGUCUGAGGGAUGAUCAGUCACACUGUAACUGAGACACGGUCCAGACUCCUACGGGAGGAAGCAGUGGAGAAUAUUGGGCGAUGGGCGAGAGCCUGAUCCAGCCAUGCCGCGUGUGUGAAGAAGGUCUUCGGAUGGGAAAGCACUUUAAGUUGGAGGGAAGGGCAGUAAGUUAAUACCUUGCUGUUUUGACGUUACCAGCAGAAUAAGCACCGGCUAACUUCGUG